rnacentral:rRNA from 1 species
UACGUAGGGUGCAAGCGUUGUCCGGAAUUAUUGGGCGUAAAGAGCUCGUAGGCGGUUCGUCACGUCGGCUGUGAAAUCCCGAGGCUCAACCUCGGGUCUGCAGUCGAUACGGGCGGACUUGAGUACUGCAGGGGAGACUGGAAUUCCUGGUGUAGCGGUGAAAUGCGCAGAUAUCAGGAGGAACACCAGUGGCGAAGGCGGUGGUCUGGGCCGGUACUGACGCUGUAGAGCGAAAGCGUGGGGAGCGAACAGG